CGGGAACCCCGAACAUCCCCUUUCUCUACUCUUUCCCUUUGGAGUCUAUAGAGGGAGAAGCAGAGCCUAAGGCUUCAUCAGUUUGAAUACUGGCUGGGGCUGGGCAAGUUAGUGGCUCAAAGUGUUGAAUCUGUCCCUAAAGCAGGGACAGAAAUGGAGGCUCAGGAGGUAGAGGUGGCAGUGGGCGUGCAGGAGAAGCUGUAGGUCAGGAGGUAGAGGUGGCAGUGGGCGUGCAGGAGAACUGUAGGUCAGAGUGGAGAGGUGGCAGUGGGCGUGCAGGAGAAGCUGUAGGUCGGGAGGUAGAGGUGGCAGUGGGCGUGCAGGAGAAGCUGUAGGUCAGGGGGUAGAGGUGGCAGUGGGCGUGCAGGAGAAGCUGUAGGUCGGGGGGUAGAGGUGGCAGUGGGCGUGCAGGAGAAGGUGUAGGUCAGGAGGCAGAGGUGGCAGUGGGCGUGCAGGAGAAGCUGUAGGUCGGGAGGUAGAGGUGGCAGUGGGCGUGCAGGAG
rnacentral:lncRNA from 1 species